UACGGAGGGGGCUAGCGUUGUUCGGAAUUACUGGGCGUAAAGCGCACGUAGGCGGCUUUGCAAGUUAGAGGUGAAAGCCCGGGGCUCAACUCCGGAAUUGCCUUUAAAACUGCAUCGCUAGAAUUGUGGAGAGGUAAGUGGAAUUCCGAGUGUAGAGGUGAAAUUCGUAGAUAUUGGGAAGAACACCGGUGGCGAAGGCGGCUACCUGGACCGGUUCUGACGCUGAGGUGCGAAAGCGUGGGGAGCAAACAGG
rnacentral:rRNA from 1 species